rnacentral:rRNA from 1 species
CGAUGAAGAACGCAGCGAAAUGCGAUAAGUAAUGUGAAUUGCAGAAUUCAGUGAAUCAUCGAAUCUUUGAACGCACAUUGCGCCCAUUAGUAUUCUAGUGGGCAUGCCUGUUCGAGCGUCAUUUCAACCCUCAAGCCCUAGUUGCUUGGUGUUGGGAGCUUAUCUUCGGAUAACUCCCCAAAAGCAUCGGCGGAGUCGCGGUGGCCCCAAGCGUAGUAAUUUUUCCUCGCUUAGGUGUGCUACGGUCGACGUCCUGCCGUAAAACCCCCUAUUUUCUAGUGGUUGACCUCGGAUCAGGUAGGAAUACCCGCUGAACUUAAGCAUAUCAAUAAGCGGAGGAAAAGAAACCAACAGGGAUUGCCCUAGUAACGGCGAGUGAAGCGGCAACAGCUCAAAUUUGAAAUCUGGCCUUCGGGUCCGAGUUGUAAUUUGUAGAGGAUGCUUUUGGUGCAGUGCCUUCCGAGUUCCUUGGAACAGGACGCCUUAGAGGGUGAGAGCCCCGUACGGUUGGACACUAAGCCUCUGUAAAGCUCCUUCGACGAGUCGAGUAGUUUGGGAAUGCUGCUCUAAAUGGGAGGUAAAUUUCUUCUAAAGCUAAAUACCGGCCAGAGACCGAUAGCGCACAAGUAGAGUGAUCGAAAGAUGAAAAGUACUUUGAAAAGAGGGUUAAAUAGCACGUGAAAUUGUUGAAAGGGAAGCGUUUAUGACCAGACCUUUGCCGGGCGGAUCAUCCGGUGUUCUUCACCGGUGCACUUCGCUCGGCUUAGGCCAGCAUCGAUUUCGGCAGGGGGACAAAGACCAUGGGAACGUAGCUCUCUUCGGGGAGUGUUAUAGCCCUAGGUGUAAUACCCUUGCGGGGAUCGAGGUUCGCGCUUCUGCAAGGAUGCUGGCGUAAUGGUCAUCAACGACCCGUCUUGAAACACGGACCAAGGAGUCGAACAUUUAUGCGAGUGUUUGGGUGUUAAACCCUCACGCGUAAUGAAAGUGAACGGAGGUGAGAGCCCUCUUUUGGGUGCAUCAUCGACCGAUCCUGAUGUAUUCGGAAGGAUUUGAGUAAGAGCAUAACUGUUCGGACCCGAAAGAUGGUGAACUAUGCGUGGAUAGGGUGAAGCCAGAGGAAACUCUGGUGGAGGCUCGCAGCGGUUCUGACGUGCAAAUCGAUCGUCAAAUCUGCGCAUGGGGGCGAAAGACUUAUCGAACCAUCUAGUAGCUGGUUACCGCCGAAGUUUCCCUCAGGAUAGCAGUGUUGUAUUCAGUUUUAUGAGGUAAAGCGAAUGAUUAGGGACUCGGGGGCGCUAUAUUGCCUUCAUCCAUUCUCAAACUUUAAAUAUGUAAGAAGCCCUUGUUACUUAAUUGAACGUGGGCAUUCGAAUGUAUCAACACUAGUGGGCCAUUUUUGGUAAGCAGAACUGGCGAUGCGGGAUGAACCGAACGCGAGGUUAAGGUGCCAGAGUAGACGCUCAUCAGACACCACAAAAGGUGUUAGUACAUCUUGACAGCAGGACGGUGGCCAUGGAAGUCGGAAUCCGCUAAGGACUGUGUAACAACUCACCUGCCGAAUGUACUAGCCCUGAAAAUGGAUGGCGCUCAAGCGUCUCACCCAUACCUCGCCCCUAGGGUAGAAACGAUGCCCUAAGGAGUAGGCGGCCGUGGGGGUUAGUGACGAAGCCUAGGGCGUGAGCCCGGGUUGAACAGCCUCUAGUGCAGAUCUUGGUGGUAGUA